ensembl:lncRNA
UCAAGGCUGGACUGGGACAAAAAAAUCGGCCCGGGCAUUUUGACUGGAGACCGGCCCACCAGGAUAAAGAUUGAAAAUGUGACGUCAUUCAGGGGUAAAACCGCAAAGGGUUCUGGGAACUUGUGGCAAGAGGUACUAGCGCACGCAGGCUUUCAAUUGAACUCAGUUACACAGCGAUAAAAAGAAACCCAAAAAAUGGCAAGAAGCUGUUGUAUUAUUAACUGCAAUAGCCGGUCGCAUGACAGCCACGGGAAGCCGACGGGUAAAGAGAUCGUUUUGUUUUAUCGGAUUAUGUCGUUGAAGAGAAAUUUUUUAAGCCAUGUUUCCGAAGUAAGAGCCACGGAUGGUCUGGAUAUACCAAAUAUAACGUCUCAGAACACUCCAGCUCACAUGUUAGUCUGCUCCAAGCAUUCCCACAAAGGUCAGAGUUUUGUAGUAGUUAAUACGUCAUUUUUCUUAACAUAAUUGGUGAUAUAGGUUACAAGCAAGUCUGGCGCUGAACAGAAAUUGUCGCGCUAUGCUCCUUUGUUUAUUGUGCAUAAAUAGUGAAUUGUCCUGACACAAUAUUGCGCUUCGCUUCUGUUAUUACCAUGGUACAUUGACAAAAACAUAUACUUUUAUUCACAGGAUAAAACAGUUGUUUUGUAUCACUAAUUGUCCAGUGCGAUUACAGCAUACAAUAUUAUUGUCACUGCUACAUUUCUGUAAUGAACCAGAAAUUAUUUCCACUACUAAUUAAUUACCGUUGAGCUCAAAGGUCCUAUUAAUAAACGGUUAACGAAUGUGUAUUUAUGAAGACGAUUUGUGAGACUGGUAAACUUACCUUUGUUCGUAUGAUGGUCUUUCGUUCUACACGGUGCAUUUCAAGAUCCUGUACCCAUCCGUCGGUAAACUGUACCUGGGCUUGUUGCAGUGACCUGAAGUUACUAAACUUCAUGAGUGUAUGCACUCACUCCAAGAACCGUAUAAUUAUAAAUCUGAGCGUGGUGAAAGUUGGGCAACACGCUAACCUCUUUUGUCCACUCUGUGUGCUCGUAAGGGUCUGACCCUUUCACUCCUUUGAUUUUUUCCUCGUAUCUUUUCUUUGUCUUUUCGUCGAGUCUGUCUUUGUACGGACCGGCAUUGUUCUCCUUUUGUUUUGUACAUUCCUUUUUUGUGCGUCAAAGAAAAAACAAGAAGGCAUUGGAACCGGAGAAUGAACGUUUUGCGGUGCUGCAAAUGCUUGCAUUUGAUGCGGUACUUGGAUUGUUUUGCCACGAGUUCCCGGCAUGCAAUGCGCAAAAAUCACGUGAUUGCUAAACAAGGGGGAGGGUCCAUCCGGCCUCCUCGGCUGUAAUUGGUCCAGCCCAGAGUCGAUCAUGACCAAUUGGCCAAUCCAACACCUUUCAUUAUAUAUACCCUUCCUAAAAAAAAAAAAAAAAUCCAUCGGCCCAUAACAACAAAAAAUCGCCAGCGGCCCACCGGGCAAAUGCCCGGUAUGCCCGAUGGCCAGUCCAGCUAUG